rnacentral:misc_RNA from 1 species
UAGCUGCGUUAAGUGGUGUGAAUUGCAGGACACGCCGAGCACUAAAUUUUCGAACGCAUAUUGCGGCUACGGGUUUCCCCGUAGCCUCGUCUGUCUGAGGGUCGGUUAAUUUAAACAUAGUUCGAGUCUGUUCGAUGUAUGGCCGUUACAGUUGCUAACAUCGUCGGACUUUGACAACGCGAUGUGUGCCGAUUGAAGGCAGCGGCAUCGAUACAGCGCCACGUGCUGUUUUCGCUCUGCCGUUUCUGCUGCUUCAGUAUACAUUUGCGUGUACUACCCAAACAUAAGUUGGCUUCGGUCUUCUUUCUUUAUUCGUCGACCUCAGAUCAGUCGAGAUUACCCGCUGAAUUUAA